AGCGGCGGACGGGUGAGUAACACGUGGGUAACCUGCCCAAGAGACUGGGAUAACACCUGGAAACAGAUGCUAAUACCGGAUAACAACACUAGACGCAUGUCUAGAGUUUGAAAGAUGGUUCUGCUAUCACUCUUGGAUGGACCUGCGGUGCAUUAGCUAGUUGGUAAGGUAACGGCUUACCAAGGCAAUGAUGCAUAGCCGAGUUGAGAGACUGAUCGGCCACAUUGGGACUGAGACACGGCCCAAACUCCUACGGGAGGCAGCAGUAGGGAAUCUUCCACAAUGGACGAAAGUCUGAUGGAGCAACGCCGCGUGAGUGAAGAAGGGUUUCGGCUCGUAAAGCUCUAUUGGUAGUGAAGAAAGAUAGAGGUAGUAACUGGCCUUUAUUUGACGGUAAUUACUUAGAAAGUCACGGCUAACUACGUGCCAGCAGCCGCGGUAAUACGUAGGUGGCAAGCGUUGUCCAGAUUUAUUGGGCGUAAAGCGAGUGCAGGCGGUUCAAUAAGUCUGAUGUGAAAGCCUUCGGCUCAACCGGAGAAUUGCAUCAGAAACUGUUGAACUUGAGUGCAGAAGAGGAGAGUGGAACUCCAUGUGUAGCGGUGGAAUGCGUAGAUAUAUGGAAGAACACCAGUGGCGAAGGCGGCUCUCUGGUCUGCAACUGACGCUGAGGCUCGAAAGCAUGGGUAGCGAACAGGAUUAGAUACCCUGGUAGUCCAUGCCGUAGACGAUGAGUGCUAAGUGU
rnacentral:rRNA from 1 species